CUGUUGAGCCAUCUCUGUAGCUCCAUCCUGUCUUUGGUCUGCAGAAACUAACAGAAUUGUUGACUAUCAACCUGGCAAGUUGUCUUGUUCUUUUGGCUUCUUGGGUCUUUCUACAGCCUCGAUGUAGCUGUCGGCCAGAAUAGGCAUUUCAGGCCUUGCUGGGAAUUAGACAAGAGAAUAAUACCUGGCCUGCUGGAGCUGACACUCACUUCAGCUUGCCUGACCUCUGGUGUGUCCCAAGGAGCCUCACACCAGCACAUAUUAGAGACCAAGCAGGGAGGCAGCCAUUUUUAUCAUGGUUCAUGUGACCUUUGGUCUUCAUAGACUUGGUGAAGCUCAGCUUUGUGUGCAAGCAGGACAUUUCCAGCGAGGACUGACAUGUGAGAUGGUGACUGGGGACGGGCAGUGUCACCCACCCUUAGUAUAGGCCACACCUUCCAAUGGACUGGAAGCAGGGAAUAAAAGAAGUCAGAGGAAGACAGCUUAUGUGCAUUUACAGCGUUCUUUCUUGAAUUCAUGUGGCUGCUACUAUUAGACUCCAGCUCUUUCAUCCUUUCAACUUGGACUCAACAGCACUGACUCUCCAGGGAGCUUCCAGGUUCUCAGUGCCAGACAAGGACUGCCAAGACUUCCAGCUUCUUUGACUGGAAAGCUACCGGGCUCUUAGUCCCUUUGGGAGUGUGCAUGACCACUGCUGGAUUACUAGCCCUUAUCAUGGAACCAAGCCAACAAACUCCAUUUCACAAGAGAUGUUCUAUCAUAGCAAUGGGAAAGGAAGCAGUAAUAAAGUUCAGAAUCACAGGAUUCUUUAUCGGCAAGACCCCAAGCGCAAGAGGAAGAAGUGGUUACAUGAGAAGUCAAGGUCCCACCAAGCUGGCUUGCUAUCAUUUGCCACCAACAGCUUGUUGGGUUUGUGGCCACCUCUGGAUCGAACAGUGCCUGCUUUCCCGGUAGUCCCACUGCCUCUGAAGCAGACCUCUCCGUUCCUCUGCCACACCUGCCCCCUGUUCAGAGCUGAGGCCCAGGUGCUAGUUGUCCUUCAUUCUUUUGGUUGGUAUAGUUGCUACUAAAAGGACAACCAAACAACACCAAAA